rnacentral:tRNA from 4 species
CGCUAAGAAGCUAAACAGAAAACAGCAUUAGCCUUUUAAGCUAAAGAUUGGUGACUCUCGACCACCCUUAACGA